AAGAGUUCUAUAACUCCCAAACCCAUGUGAACAUACCUAACGUUGCCUCGGCAGGUCGCACCUACCUUGUAGCACCCUACCCUGUAGGGCCUACCCGGGAGAUGCGGGUAAGCCUGCCGGCGGCCCACCAAACUCUGUUUGAUAUUGAAUUCUGAACAUAUAACUAAAUAAGUUAAAACUUUCAACAACGGAUCUCUUGGUUCUGGCAUCGAUGAAGAACGCAGCGAAAUGCGAUAAGUAAUGUGAAUUGCAGAAUUCAGUGAAUCAUCGAAUCUUUGAACGCAUAUUGCGCCCAUUAGUAUUCUAGUGGGCAGGACCGUUCGAGCGUCAUUUCGACCCUUAAGCCUUAGUUGCUUAGUGUUGGGAGCCUACGGCAACGUAGCUCCUCAAAGUUAGUGGCGGAGUUGGUUCACACUCUAGACGUAGUAAUUUUUUAUCUCGCCUAUUAGUUGGACUGAUCCCCUGCCGUAAAACCCCCAACUUAUCAAGGUUGACCUCGAAUCGGUUCAGACAAACUCGCUAAAUUGAAGCAUCUUAGUCAGCGAAGGAAAAGAAACCAACAGGGAUUGCCCUAGUAACGGCGAGUGAAGCGGCAACAGCUCAAAUUUGAAA
rnacentral:rRNA from 1 species